UACGGGGGGGGCAAGCGUUGUUCGGAAUUACUGGGCGUAAAGCGCGCGUAGGCGGCUUUUCAAGUCGGGCGUGAAAGCCCCGGGCUUAACCCGGGAAUGGCGCUCGAUACUGUUGAGCUAGAGUGUGGAAGGGGCUACUGGAAUUCCGUGUGUAGCGGUGAAAUGCGUAGAUAUACGGAGGAACACCGGUGGCGAAGGCGGCAUCCUGGACCGACAUUGACGCUGAGGCGCGGAAAGCCAGGGGAGCAAACGGG
rnacentral:rRNA from 1 species